GGAAGGAGAGAGAGAGGGAGGGGGAAGCGGAGGUACACGGGAUUCUGAUGUUCUCUGUUGCACACACCGCACUGCUCGCCCUAACUGCGCUAUCCAUGCUGCUGUAUCGUACACUGUCUGCAUGAGACGAGUCCGUUUACUGUUUAGCCUAUCGAAGCAUUUCUCGGCUCGACUCUACACCUGUCCCCGACUCUUCUCUUUUUGGCACAUCUUUCCAGUUUCUCUUCAAACCCUUCGAUCGGCUGAAGUGUUUUUCCAAGGAAAGAGAUCGUUGAAACUGCCAGUCUAAGCGGCUAGAAGAGAAGAGAAGUGACUUGUCUGCAGAACUCUCCGCCGCUGCACGUUCUCAAGAUGAGCGAGAUCAGAUCCACGGGGAAUCCCAACAGCAGCCAGACGCCGGCAUCGGACAACAAAGGUCUGUCUGUCUGUUUAUGUAUUCAGACGCCGUACUCUGUGAACUUUAUGUCUCUCCAUCUGUCUCUCUCUGUUCCCCUCACACUCUCUCUCUCUCCCUCUCUCCACCUCACACUCUCUCGCUGUCUCUCGCUCUCUCCACCUCACACUCUCUCCCUGUCUCUCCCUCUCUCCCCUCACACUCUCUCUCUCUCUCUCUCCCCUCACACUCUCUCUCUGUCUCGCCCUCUGUUCCCUCACACUCUCUCUCUGUCUCUCCCUCUCUCCCCUCACACUCUCUCUCUGUCUCUCUCCACCUCACACUCUCUCGCUGUCUCUCGCUCUCUCCACCUCACACUCUCUCCCUGUCUCUCCCUCUCUCCCCUCACACUCUCUCUCUCUCUCUCUCUCCCUUCACACUCUCUCUCUGUCUCGCCCUCUGUUCCCUCACACUCUCUCUCUGUCUCUCCCUCUCUCCCCUCACACUCUCUCUCUGUCUCUCUCCACCUCACACUCUCUCGCUGUCUCUCGCUCUCUCCACCUCACACUCUCUCCCUGUCUCUCCCUCUCUCCCCUCACACACUCUCUCUCUCUCUCUCUCCCCUCACACUCUCUCUCUGUCUCGCCCUCUGUUCCCUCACACUCUCUCUCUGUCUCUCCCUCUCUCCCCUCACACUCUCUCUCUGUCUCUCUCCACCUCACACUCUCUCGCUGUCUCUCGCUCUCUCCACCUCACACUCUCUCCCUGUCUCUCCCUCUCUCCCCUCACACUCUCUCUCUCUCUCCCCUCACACUCUCUCUCUCUGUCUCUCCCUCUCUCCCCUCACACUCUCUCUCUCUCUCCCCUCACACUCUCUCUCUCUCUCUCUCUCCCCUCACACUCUCUCUCUGUCUCUCCCUCUGUUCCCUCACACUCUCUCUGUCUCUCCCUCUCUCCCCUCACACUCUCUCUCUGUCUCUCUCCACCUCACACUCUCUCUCUGUCUCUCCCUCUCUCCCCUCACACUCUCUCUCUGUCUCUCUCCCAUCACACUCUCUCUCUGUCUCUCCCUCUCUCCACCUCACACUCUCUCUCUGUCUCUCCCUCUCUCCCCUCACACUCUCUCUCUGUCUCUCCCCUCACACUCUCUCUGUCUCUCUCCCCUCACACUCUCAAUGUCUCUCCCUCUCUCCCCUCACACUCUCUCUCUGUCUCUCUCCCAUCACACUCUCUCUCUCUCUCCCUCUCUCCACCUCACACCCUCUCUCUGUCUCUCCCUCUCUCCACAUCACACUCUCUCUGUCUCUCCCUCUCUCCACCUCACACUCUCUCUGUCUCUUUCCACUUCAAACUCUCUCUCUGUCUCUCCCUCUCUCCAGCUCACACUUUCUCACUGUCUCUCUCCACCUUACACUCUCUCUCUCUGUCUCUUUCCACCUUACACUCUCUCUCUCCCUCUCUCCACCUUACACUCUCUCUCUCUGUCUCUUUCCACUUCAAACUCUCUCUCUGUCUCUCCCUCUCUCCCCUCACACCCUCUCUCCGUCUCUCCCUCUCCCCUCUUUCUGUUUUGUAUCUGUAUCCUUAAGCUUAGCACCUACAUGCCGUUGCUAGCUUUUCAGUCUAGGUUUUUGCCUGCUAGGUUCAUUACUAACCGGGUGAAGGCCACAUUUUCAAGAUUUUGUCUGGAUUCACUGGAAUUUCUUUUUUAG
rnacentral:lncRNA from 1 species